GACGAACGCUGGCGGCGUGCUUAACACAUGCAAGUCGAGCGGUAAGGCCCUUUCGGGGGUACGACGAGCGGCGAACGGGUGAGUAACACGUGGGUGACCUGCCCUCAGCUCUGGGAUAAGCCUGGGAAACCGGGUCUAAUACCGGAUAUGACUCCAUGACGCAUGUUGUGGGGUGGAAAGCCUUGUGCGGCUGAGGAUGGGCCCGCGGCCUAUCAGCUUGUUGGUGGGGUGAGGCCUACCAAGGCGACGACGGGUAGCCGGCCUGAGAGGGCGACCGGCCACACUGGGACUGAGACACGGCCCAGACUCCUACGGGAGGCAGCAGUGGGGAAUCUUGCGCAAUGGGCGAAAGCCUGACGCAGCGACGCCGCGUGAGGGAUGACGGCCUCGGUCGUAAC
rnacentral:rRNA from 1 species